UUUUUAGACUUCAAAUUGUUGAUCCCGAUCAGUUGAAUGAGAAUAGUAGUUGAGGAGUAAAGUAUAAUUGCACCUCACCUGUACCAGCAUGCAAAUCAACCUUAUGUGUGUGUUUGUGUGUUAAAUUCUGUCUUUCAUGUAUGGUAGGUAAGUAUCUUGAGUGUGUUAUAUUAUGAUAUGGGCGAAGGCUAGCGUGGGAGAGUGACUUAGGUCACUCAUGGGGAGUGAGUAAUCUGGUCCGUUUGAUUAUAAUACACCAUCAUGAACAUUAUACACUAUAUAUUUUAAUUAUUUUAUCUUCCUAUUUUCUUUUGAUUCUGUCUCAUCCUUCUGACUCUCUCUCCAUUGUUGGGACUCACACUACUGGUUACAUUCUCUUUCCAUCAGCACUCACCGUCCGAAGAACGUUUUUUCAUCAUUUUUUAUUUUUUAUUUUUUUAUGUAGUUAGGAAUUUUAUCCACACCCAGAACUUUUCUUUUUGUGUCCCAUUUUUUGGAUGGAUUGUGAACCUUACCAUUCUGUUUGAUUCUUCUUUUUGGGUUCAUGUUUACAUUUUAUGCUUCUUGAUUUUGUUGGAUUCACAAUAAAAAAAAUUGAGGAAGAAGAAGAAGAAGAGAGGAAUUACAAUCUGAGUGUCUUAAAAGAUGAAAUAUUUACAAAUCUUGAGAAAUAGGAAAAAAUUCAACCACUUGUUAUAUUUUAUUCAUGUAACACCACUCUUUUGAACAAAAUCAUGAAAGAGUAAUUAAAAAUCAAACAAGACAACACUGAAUUAUUGAAAAAAAUUCAUAUAGAAAAAAAUAAAAGUGCAUAAACGUGAAAAUUGGAAUUUUGUGGAAAAGGGGAAGAGAUGCCCAUUUUAAUAUUUGUUAAUGACACGCAACCGAUGGAUUCUAAGAGAAAGGUUGAAAAAAAUCCAGCCUUGUGUCAAAGAUGAAUCCAGUAUUUUCUUCCUUUUGUUAAAAAAAGAUGAUUUCAGUGGUGAUUUUUUUUUUUUUGUUUAACACAGUCUCAGCGGAAAUGAUGAACAACUCUGGCAUGGAGAGAGGAGAAUGAACAAGGCACUGAGGUAGGCGUAGAGAGAGAGAAGAAAAUCUAGAAUAGGAUGUAGCAUUCAUAUGUGUAUAAUGCAUCAUAAUAUCCGUGGACGAUCAUAAUCCAACUGUUAAACACACUCAUGCACCAUGCGCGACCUAAUAUGCUCUCCCACGCUAGCCUUCGCCUAUGAUAUGAUGCUAAGUUGCUUGAUAUUGGUAGAUGGUGCUUAAGAAUAACAUUAGAGUUAUGGAUGCAAGCAAAAAAUGGAGAUCCAAGUAUUUCAACUAUUUAAGAAUAUGCGGUUCAUAUGGUUCGAGUUUUUCUUUUGUAUUUCUCGAUAAAGUUAGUUUCUUGAGUUACUGUUAUAUCAUACUUCCAUAGGUUAAGAAUUAUUUUAAGAGUUAUAUAUAUAAGGUCAAAUGCAUCUAAAUGUCCUUUAAGUUUUUCAUUUUUUUCAAAGUCGUCCUUUAAGUUUUAAAAGUCCUAAACAAGUCCUUUUAGUUUUUGAAUCGUUUCAAACAAGUUCUAUUGUAGAUAGAAUAGUUGGUAAUGUUGAGAAAAU
rnacentral:lncRNA from 1 species